UCGUCCUUAGUUGCCAUCAUUAAGUUGGGCACUUUAAGGAACUGCCGGUGAUAAGCCGGAGGAAGUGGGGAUGACGUCAAGUCCUCAUGGCCCUUACAGGCUGGGCUACACACGUGCUACAAUGGCAUCUACAGUGGGCAGCUAUUCCGCAAGGAUGCGCUAAUCUCCAAAAGAUGUCUCAGUUCGGAUUGUCCUCUGCAACUCGAGGGCAUGAAGGCGGAAUCGCUAGUAAUCGCGGAUCAGCAUGCCGCGGUGAAUACGUUCCCAGGCCUU
rnacentral:rRNA from 1 species